ensembl:lncRNA LOC120093624 uncharacterized LOC120093624
CCUUCAUGGUAGAUGUUCACCAUUGCUGCCACUUCUACAGAUAAGAGCCUUGAGGUUCCACAGGUUCUCUAGGACAGGGGCCACUGAGAGCAGGAACACUUAAGGCUACAGGAGCUGACAGGGAGGCCAUUUAUGGGGAAAGUUUGCUGGCGUGUAGAUAGUGUGUGAGUCAGCCAGCGAGUGACGGAGCUGGAGGGAACAUCUUGGUCCAGUGACGACUCUGGAGUGAAGGCACUGUGUGGGAAAACAUCACGAGAGCACAUCCUCUGUACACCAUCAGGGGUGGGGUCUGGCAGCUGGUUUAAGACCAUGCAGAGAAGAGGCUGUGGUAAGUGGCCUAUGAGUUUGAUGGUCAUUUCAGACAAGUUACAUUGGAGGCUUCCAUUGAAUCCUGGCUCAGUUUUCAUAGCUGCAAGGUAGACUGUAGGCAUUAAUUUAAGGUUGGUAGCCUUCUCUUUUCCCAUUCUAGCUCCCAAUUAAUUGACACAAAGACCUAUUAUGUUAACAGACUUAAAGCGCUCUGACUGUGUAGAUAUUCCUCGGUUCUAACCAGCCACAUGGUCCUUUACCUUCUGUCUGAGUCUCACCUUGAUUCACUCUGCUCCAUUUGUGUCCUCUUGGUGAAUUCCUUGGCGACUUACUCAUUAUGACUCCUCCUGGACCUUCUGCCUCAUGGCCACCUCUUCUCUUCCUUUCUCUCCUUCUCGUCCUUCUCUUACCUCUUCCUACCUGGGACCCCUGGCUUGGAUUGGAAGUCCAGCCUUCCUAUCCUCUGACUAGGCAUAGGCUUAAUCAAUCAACUGUUGGUUAGACAAUCAGAGAUGGUGGAAAACACAUUUUAUACAACAUUGAGACAGAAGAUGCUUGACCAUGCCACAUUCUGGAUUGUAGACCGAUGUCUAGGCAUUAAAAUCAGAGUCUGAAUAUACAGUUCACAAGACCAACCCCCCAUCAGUGAAAUGUUCUCCACAGUGUCUGAAACUCACUUUUCAACUCAAGUCUGUAGAC